GAGGCGGGAGCCAGGCCCGUCACUGACCGCCGCGGCGCCGUGAGUCCCGGGCGGGCAAGGAGGCGCGGGCCGUCCCUGGCCAACACGUGGCACCGCUCCAUGCUGCGCGGCGCGGCUGAGGACCGUGACAAACACUCAUCGUUGGGUGGGGCUCUAGUGCAGUCCGUUGGUGCCAAUAUUUUAUAAGCGACGUUUUCAAACUAUGUGAAGAUCCUUUCUUUUCUUUUCUUUGUUUUUUGUUUUUGUUUUUGUUUUUUUUUGAGACGGAAUCUCGCUCUGUCGCCCGGGCUGGAGUGCAGUGGCGCGAUCUCGGCUCACUGCAACCUGCGCCUCCCAGGUUCACGCGAUUCUCCUGCCUCAGUCUCCUGAGUAGCUGGGACUACGGGCGCCCAUCACCACACCCGGCUAAUUUUUUGUAUCUUUAGUAGAGACGGAGUUUCACUAUGUUGGCCAGACUGGUCUCGAACUCCUGACCUCAGGUGAUCUGCCCGCCUCAGCCUCCCAAAGUGCUGGGAUUACAGGCGUGAGCCACCAUUCUCGGCUGAAGAUCCAUUUUAAGAAGAUUUAUUCCUCUAUGAUGGAGAAGUAUGAAAAAAUUGGGAAAAUUGGAGAAGGAUCCUAUGGAGUUGUUUUCAAAUGUAGAAACAGGGACACGGGUCAGAUUGUGGCCAUCAAGAAGUUUCUGGAAUCAGAAGAUGACCCUGUCAUAAAGAAAAUUGCCCUUCGGGAAAUCCGAAUGCUCAAGCAACUCAAGCAUCCCAACCUUGUUAACCUCCUGGAAGUCUUCAGGAGGAAACGGAGGCUUCACCUGGUGUUUGAAUAUUGUGACCACACAGUUCUCCAUGAGUUGGACAGAUACCAAAGAGGGGUACCAGAACAUCUUGUGAAGAGCAUAACUUGGCAGACACUGCAAGCUGUAAAUUUUUGCCAUAAACACAAUUGCAUACAUAGAGACGUGAAGCCAGAAAAUAUCCUCAUCACAAAACAUUCCGUGAUUAAGCUCUGUGACUUUGGAUUUGCUCGGCUUUUGACUGGACCGAGUGACUACUAUACAGACUACGUGGCUACCAGGUGGUACCGCUCCCCUGAGCUGCUGGUGGGGGACACGCAGUACGGCCCCCCGGUGGAUGUUUGGGCAAUUGGCUGUGUCUUUGCUGAGCUGCUGUCAGGAGUGCCUCUGUGGCCAGGAAAAUCGGAUGUGGAUCAGCUGUAUCUGAUUAGGAAGACCUUGGGGGAUCUCAUUCCUAGGCACCAGCAAGUGUUUAGCAUGAAUCAGUACUUCAGUGGAGUGAAAAUUCCAGACCCUGAAGAUAUGGAACCACUUGAAUUAAAAUUCCCAAACAUCUCUUAUCCUGCCCUGGGGCUCCUAAAGAGUUUCAUCUUUCAAAGAAGAAAAAAAUGACAUUAAUAAGUUAAUACAAUUUUGAAGAAGUAAGAAGAAGGAAUUUUCUGUUCUUUUAGGGCUGUCUCCACAUGGACCCUACUGAAAGGCUGACAUGUGAACAGCUGUUGCAUCACCCAUAUUUUGAAAACAUCAGAGAAAUAGAGGAUUUGGCAAAAGAACAUGACAAACCAACAAGGAAGACCCUAAGAAAGAGCCGAAAGCACCACUGCUUUACAGAAACAUCCAAGGUUAUAAUUUCAAAUGAUCUCCUACCUGCCACCUGGUACAGAGAGUUGGAAUCUAGACUUGAGGAUGGCAGUUGUGGCUUUCAGCUCCAGCAUCCUCAUUCCAGCACUGGGAGACAGGUCAUAGGAUCUAUCAACCAGGGCCCCAGGGACAUCUGUCUCCUGAAGCCCCCUCUCCCUGAAUCCUAAAGGUGCCCUUGUCCUGCUGCUUCCUGAUGCCACACAGGGGCCAGGGUUUCCGGCCUGCAUGAGCACAGGUCUCAACAAGUUGCAGUACCUACCCCAGCUAACUGGCAGCAGCAUCCUUCCAGCUUUGGAUAAUAAGAAGUACUACUGUAAUACCAAGAAACUUAACUACCGUUUUCCAAACAUUUAAAGGAGCUAGGAGACAUGAUUUUAAAAAAGGAAUCAAUAGAUGCUUUGAAGAAAAUAAAACUUAUACAGUUGAUUGAAAACAAUUACAAUGUUGAAAACACACCAGGAGAAAACAUAAGCAAGAAACUGGGAGGCCAACUGGCAAGAUAUGAAGGGAAAUUCCAGAUCCAGUCUUCCAUGCUUGAUGAUGGUGUCCAGAAAAGAAAAAACCUGUUUGGAGUUGCACUUGUAUUUCAGUUUAUGUAAGUAGCCGAACUUAUGGACAGAAUAUGAACUGUCCCAUACCUCUGGCAAAACUAGAUGAUAUCAAAAAGAUUUAUGCUUCAGUUGUACCACAUGCCACACAAGAAAAAUGAACCACAAAAUGCCCAUAUAUAUUUCCUCGGAUCUCUGUUGCCUGAGUCCUAUCUCCUGCCUCUCAGAUUGUUUCAGCAUCAUAUUUAAGAUAGUUCUAUUUCUUGAAAUCAAAAUGUUUAAAAUCCCAUUUCCUGCUUGCUCUAUUUCUUGAUUUUUAUAUUUUAAAACAUUUUGAGGGUAACACUUAGGUUCAAUAUAUUUAAAAGCAUAUGAAUUAUCACAAAAGCUUGGUAAUUUAUAUAUUUAAUUAUAUGUUUCCACAUUUCAUCCUUACUUUAUCAGUAAAGGAUACACCUUAGUCACUUUUGCAGGCAAGGUGGAUUUACUGUAAUCUGUCUACAUUUAUUCACCCAAUUCCCCUUCUAAACAAUGGCAUGAAGCUCGGCAGCUGAUUAAGGCAGUCAAAGGGUAGAGCAAGACCUACCGGCUUUGCAGGAACUGAACCUAUCAGCCUGAAAAUAAUUAGUAUUUCAUUCUCUCUGGCACAGCCUUUGACCUGGUACAUCUAUAGGCAAACCUGUAAUUCAGUGAUCUGGGUUUCAGAAGAAAUUACUUGUGAGCUUUUACUUGAGUCAUGAAAGACAUUAUGUUGUAAACUGAUGUUUUCCCUGAAACAUCUUUUUGCACUAUGUUUGUAUGUGUAUGUAUGUGUAUGUAUAUAUAUAUAUGCUAUUCUAACAACUAAUAUAUUACACUAAGUAGUCCAAAGUAUUGAGGACUCAUAGCUUUGCACAGCAAGACUUAAAAUGAUGACACACACACACACACACACACACACACACACACACACACACACAUAUAUAUAAAACCUCCCACCUCAGCCUCCUAAGUAGCUGGGACUGCAGGCAUGUGCCACUAUACUGGCUAAUUUUUUUGUAUUUUUUGGUAGAGGCAGGGUUUUGCCAUGUUCCCCAGGCUGGUCUUGAACUCCUGGGCUCACAUGAUCUGAGCGCCUUGGCCUUCCAAAGUGCUGGCAUUACAGGCAUGAGCCACUGCGCCUGGCCAAAAUGACAUAAUUAGCUUUGAUUUGGUCUACUGCUCUUAAUCAAAAAGCUUUUUCAUCCUUGUCCCCUGGACACAAGGGCAAUAUGAAGCCUGACGUCUGUUUCUUACAGCUCAACACCAUUUCUGGUUGAUGUGCUGCCACUAUUCCUAGCACUUCUCAGCAUGGUCUUCAAAGUUGUAUUUCACUCUAUUUUCAAAACAUUUCUUCUGUACUCUCAUUUUCUUCCUGUUAAUUUUCUUCAUGAUGACAUCUGACCCCAUUUACUUAAGUAAUCCACUGAGGUCUGGUGUCUAUUCAAUAAUUUUGACUACCCUAGGCAGUUUAAUGAUAUCCUAAGGCUUCCUAAUGUAUGUCGUUUCUUGCCUAGACCUGAUAUGGGUUAAAUGCUAGUCCCUGAAUUAUUCAAUUCCUGUUAGACGGCCUUGAUUCAAAUGACAAGGAAGAACAUCCAGCUUCCGUGAAUAGUUAAAAAAAAAUUUUUUUUUUCCUUAACCCAAGAAAAUACACUUGACGGAGGCAGAUUACUAUAACAGCCUAAUAAUUCAGCCAAUAGUUUUACCAAAAACUAUUCAGAAUAGAAAAGUAGCUCUAGACUAAAUCGUGGUGAAUCAGUUGUCUCACCAUACAGUAAUGAAACAAACCUGAGAAAAAAGGCUUAUUUUUUUCUAAUGAGUUCCGUUAAAUUUAUGCUUAUGUUCAAUUUAACCAUAUUUAUAAUGCUUUUAUUCGGUAUGAAAUCUCCACUGUAUCACAUGAGACUCUUCCACAUCCUUUUAUUUACUAUUUUCUGAUUUUUAAAAUGACAGUGGCAAUUACCAUUUAUACUAUGUGUUAUUUGUAUAAGCUGUUAAACACAACGUUGUUAAACACAACGUAAAUUCAUUUUUCUACCUGAAAGCUGUAUCAUAGAAAAUUAUUUUCAAGUUUAUAUUCAACAGCUUAAUAAUGUUCAAACCAGGCUGGACGCGGUGGCUCCCAGCACUUUGGGAGGCCGAGGCGGGUGGAUCCUGAGGUUAGGAGUUCAAGACCAGUCUGGCCAAGAUGGUGAAACCCUGUCUCUACUAAAAGUACAAAAAUUAGCUGGGCGUGGUGGUGGGCGCCUGUAAUCCCAGCUACCUGGGACGCUGAGGCAGAGAACUGCUUGAACCCGGGAGGCAGAGGUUGCAGUGAACUGAGAUCACACCACUGCACUCCAACCUGGGCAACGGAGUGAGAGUCUGUCUCAAAAAAAAAAAAAAAAAAAAAAAAAAAGUUCAAAUCAAACACACAGAAAUCUAUAAACAAGCUGGCAUAUAAGAGUAAUAGAAUCAGGGCCAUUUCUCACAGGUAACAAUGAAGACCUGUUUUAUCUAUUUUUGACUUUUUUUUUUUUUUUUGAGACAGGGUCUUAAUCUGUUGCCCAGGCUGGAGUGCAGUAGUGCCAACAUGGCUCACUGCAGCCUCGACUUCCCGGGCUCAACUCUUCUCCUACCUCAGACUCCUGAGUAGUUGGGACUACAGGCAUGUGCCACUACACCCAGCUAUUUUUUAUUUUUUAAUUUUUUGGUAGAGACAGGGUUUUGCCACGUUGCCCAGGCUCGUCCUGAACUCCUGGGCUCAAAUGAUCUGCCUGCCUUGGCCUUCAAAAGUGCUGGGAUUACAGGCCAGCCCUUUUUUUUAAGAGACAGGUCUCCCCCUUUCACCCAGGCUACCAGGCUGGUGUGCAGUGGCCGUGAUCAUAGCUUACUGCAGCCUCAAACUCCUGAGCUCAAGCAAUCCUACCACCUCAACCUCCCAAGUAUCUGAGAUUACAGGUAUGCACCACCAUGCCUGCCUAAUUUUUAAAAUUUUUUUAGAGAUGGGGUCUCGCUGUGUUGCCCAAAUUGGUCUCAAACUCCUGGUCUCAAGUGAUCCUCCCACCUCAGCCUCCCAAAGCACUGGGAUUACAGGCACGAGCCACGGCACCCAGCCUAAAGCAAUGUUAGGUUUCAAGAAAAACCUAAGCAUAGCCCACUGGUUUUUAUUGUUUCCUUUAUUAUAUUGCAAUCUGCAAAACUAUUUGUAUUCAGCCAAGUAUCUAUGUCCAGUUUUAAUAAAAUAGUAGCCUAAGCUUACAAAAUAGACAAAUUAAGCAGCAACUGUUGAUUCUGAGAAAGUCUGUAUGCUAUCAAGAACACAAGAAUGCAGGAUCAUGGGAAAUGCACGCAAAUCCUGUUGAAGCAAUGCAUGCUUCAACAACCACUGACCACUUUGCAUAAUUGACUCCAUCAAUGAAUCUGUAAUUUACCUUCUAAUUUUUCAUAAUUGUGCAUUUAUGGUAGUAUGCUUCACUAACUUUAAAGUUAAAUGUAAAUUACUGUUAUAAUAAAAACAUCUGUUGUACAAAUAA